UACGUAGGAUCCAAGCGUUGUCCGGAUUUACUGGGUGUAAAGGGUGCGCAGGCGGUCUGGUUAGUCAGGGGUGAAAUCCCGUUGCUCAACAACGGAACUGCCUUUGAUACUGCCAGUCUUGAAUUAGGGAGAGGUUCGUGGAAUUCCGAGUGUAGCAGUGAAAUGUGUAGAUAUUCGGAAGAACACCAGUGGCGAAGGCAGCGAACUGGCCCUAUAUUGACGCUCAGGCACGAAAGCAUGGGGAUCAAACAGG
rnacentral:rRNA from 1 species